rnacentral:rRNA from 1 species
AACGAACGCUGGCGGCAGGCUUAACACAUGCAAGUCGAACGCAUCCUUCGGGGUGAGUGGCAGACGGGUGAGUAACGCGUGGGAACGUGCCCUUCAGUUCGGGAUAACCCAGGGAAACUUGGGCUAAUACCGGAUACGUGCGAGAGCAGAAAGAUUUAUCGCUGAAGGAUCGGCCCGCGUCUGAUUAGCUAGUUGGUGGGGUAAUGGCCCACCAAGGCGACGAUCAGUAGCUGGUCUGAGAGGAUGAUCAGCCACAUUGGGACUGGGACACGGCCCAAACUCCUACGGGAGGCAGCAGUGGGAAUAUUGGACAAUGGGCGCAAGCUUGAUCCAGCCAUGCCGCGUGAGUGAUGAAGGCCUUAGGGUUGUAAAGCUCUUUCGUCCGGGACGAUAAUGACGGUACCGGAAGAAGAAGCCCCGGCUAACUUCGUGCCAGCAGCCGCGGUAA